rnacentral:ncRNA from 1 species
CCCAGUGCUCUGAAUGUCAAAGUGAAGAAAUUCAACCAAGCGCGGGUAAACGACAGGAGUAACUAUGACUCUCUUAAGGUAGCCAAAUGCCUCAUCAUCUAAUUAGUGACGCGCAUGAAUGGAUUAABGAGAUUCCCACUGUCCCUGUUUACUAUCCAUCGAAACCAUAGCCAAGGGAACGGGCUUGGCAGAAUCAGCGGGGAAAGAAGACCCUAUUGAGCUUGACACUAGUUUGACUUUGUGAAAUGACUUGAGAGGUGUAGGAUAAGUAGGAGCCCUCGGGCAUAAGUGAAAUACCACUACGUUUAACAUUAUUUAACUUAUUCCGUUAGUCGGAAGCAAGGCAUCGCCCCUCCUUUUGGACCCAAGGCUCGCCUUGUUAGACAGUUUUGUAUGCCCAUAGCUUCAAUCCGAUUUGAUGUACUUUUGUUAUU